UACGGAGGAUGCAAGCGUUAUCCGGAAUGAUUGGGCGUAAAGCGUCCGCAGGUGGCAAUGUAAGUCUGCUGUCAAAGCGUCUGGCUCAACCAGAUAAAGGCAGUGGAAACUACAUAGCUAGAGUAAGGUAGGGGUAGAGGGAAUUCCUGGUGUAGCGGUGAAAUGCGCAGAUAUCAGGAAGAACACCGGUGGCGAAAGCGCUCUGCUAGGCCGCAACUGACACUGAGGGACGAAAGCUAGGGGAGCGAAUGGG
rnacentral:rRNA from 1 species